CAUAGAAGGAAUGUACAGAAGUCAUGUUUGAUUGAGAAAAGUUACGACAAGUAGGUAAACUUUGAAAAAUACGAUUGCUGUCAGUGUCGGAAAGAAUGACCCGACUUGACCCAGAUAUGAGACAGCCGAAACCAGGAAUGACAAGAGAACCGGCGUUACAGUUUAAUCCGGACAACAAGUUUAAUGAACAUCGUUUGUGAUUUGAGACAAGUGUUACUGAUGGGAAACAUGUGCAUGUGGGAUUUUAGGAGGACUUGUCGAACGCGCUUGUGGAGUGGACACAGUCAGAUAACGUGAGUUUGUUGAUAUUUUGAUGUGAUUCAUAAUGGUCGAAUACCUGUCGAUAGACUAACACGGUAUCUGGAGACUUAGUGACAAGCUGUCCGCAUUCACGGAGUUCAUUUAGUUCAAUGUCGGACACAGGAUCACCUCGCUGGGUUAUCGAUGUCAUCAUCGUUCACAAAGGCAAACCUGUCUAUACAAAGUCCGGUUUUGGGGAUUCGUGUGGUCGAAAGAUUCGCCAAACAGCAAGUCCUCUAACACAGACGCAAAUCCGGACUUGGUGGUGUUCAUUUUUAGCGCACUAGAAACAGUUUCUGGCAACAUCACAAUCUGAAUCUUGGAACUUCAAUCUGGCCAUAUGCAGUUUUGACAACAAAGACAUUAAAUGUGUUCAGAGGUUGAAUUAUGUGAAUAACUCUUCCUGUCAGAUCUCCGUCUACUUUAACGAGGUCAUUUAGUUUGACAGGUGUCAAAUGGUCAGCCAUGUUUGUUUACAAACAAUGCAGACGUAGUUUUGUUUUUUGUAAUUACGCUUAUUGUAAACUAAAACUCGUGCGAAAUAAAUGCUUUAUUCAU